rnacentral:rRNA from 1 species
AAAGUUAAACGGCCGCGGUACCCUAACCGUGCAAAGGUAGCACAAUCACUUGUUCUUUAAAUCAGGACUAGUAUGAACGGCCCCACGAGAGCUAUACUGUCUCCCCCCCUUAAUCAGUGAAACUGAUCUCCCCGUGAAGAAGCGGGGAUACACAUAUAAGACGAGAAGACCCCAUGGAGCUUUAAACUUGUACCACUGCCCCAAACUACAUCAAUCAACCGGGCAAACAAUGGCUACUAGUCUUUCGGCUGGGGCGACCACGGAGAAAAACUAAACCUCCACGAUGAAAGGAACACCCUAAUUAAAGAGCUACAGCUCUAAAAAUCAACAAAUUGACAUAAUUGACCCAAACACUUUGAUCAACGAACCAAGUUACCCUGGGGAUAACAGCGCAAUCCAUUUCAAGAGACCCCAUCGACAAAUGGGCUUACGACCUCGAUGUUGGAUCAGGGUAUCCCAGUGGUGCAGCCGCUACUAAAGGUUCGUUUGUUCAACGAUUAAAACCCU